CCUACGGGUGGCAGCAGUGAGGAAUAUUGGUCAAUGGACGCAAGGCUGAACCAGCCAUGCCGCGUGCAGGAUGACGGCGCUAUGCGUUGUAAACUGCUUUUGUACGAGGAUAAAAUCAGACACGAGUGUCGGGUUGAAGGUAUCGGAAGAAAAAGGAUCGGCUAACUCCGUGCCAGCAGCCGCGGUAAUACGGAGGAUGCGAGCGUUAUCCGGAUUUUUUGGGUUUAAAGGGUGCGUAGGCGGUUUGUUAAGUUAGAGGUGAAAUGUCGGGGCUCAACCCCGGCAGUGCCUCUAAUACUGGUUGUCUUGAGAAGAGUAGCGGUAGGCGGAAUGUAUGGUGUAGCGGUGAAAUGCUUAGAGAUUACACAGAACACCGAUUGCGAAGGCAGCUUACC
rnacentral:rRNA from 1 species